GAGGUCUCAAGCGUUGUUCGGAAUCACUGGGCGUAAAGGGUGCGUAGGCGGCGGAGUAAGUCGGGUGUGAAAUUUGAGGGCUCAACCCUCAACGUGCACCUGAUACUGCUUUGCUAGAGGCCUGAAGAGGAGCUUGGAAUUCUUGGUGUAGCAGUGAAAUGCGUAGAUCUCAAGAAGAACGCUCGCAGCGAAAGCGAAGCUCUGGUCAGGAUCUGACGCUGAGGCACGAAGGCUAGGGGAGCAAACGGGAUUAGAUACCCCGGUAGUCCUAGCUGUAAACGGUGCGCGUUUGGUGUUGGCAAGUUAGACCUUGUCAGUGCCGGAGCUAACGCGUUAAACGCGCCGCCUGGGAAGUACGAUCGCAAGAUUAAAACUCAAAGAAAUUGACCGGGACCCGCACAAGCGGUGGAGUAUGUGGCUUAAUUCGAUGCAACGCGAAGAACCUUACCUGGAUUUGACAUGCAUUGUGUCUCCGAUGAAAGUCGGAUACUGUUGAAACAUACAGGCUUUGCACAGGUGCUGCAUGGCUGUCGUCAGCUCGUGUCGUGAGAUGUUGGGUUAAGUCCCGCAACGAGCGCAACCCUCGUGGUUUGUUGCCCCCGGAUUUAUUUCCGCGCACUCAAACCAUACUGCCCAGAUUAACUGGGAGGAAGGCGAGGAUGACGUCAAGUCAGUAUGGCCCUUACAUCCAGGGCUGCACACGUACUACAAUGCCCAAUACAAAUAGAUCCUAGUCCGCGAGGAGGAGGAAAUCUCAUAAAAUUGG
rnacentral:rRNA from 1 species